rnacentral:rRNA from 1 species
GUGCCAGCAGCCGCGGUAAUACGGAGGGGGCUAGCGUUGUUCGGAAUUACUGGGCGUAAAGCGCACGUAGGCGGCUUUGUAAGUUAGAGGUGAAAGCCUGGAGCUCAACUCCAGAACUGCCUUUAAGACUGCAUCGCUUGAAUCCAGGAGAGGUGAGUGGAAUUCCGAGUGUAGAGGUGAAAUUCGUAGAUAUUCGGAAGAACACCAGUGGCGAAAGCGGCUCACUGGACUGGUAUUGACGCUGAGUGCGAAAGCGUGGGGAGCAAAUGCGAUUAGAUACCCUGGUAGUCC